UACGUAGGGGGGCAAGCGUUGUCCGGAAUUAUUGGGCGUAAAGAGCGUGUAGGCGGUCCGGUAAGUCAGCUGUGAAAGUCAAGGGCUCAACCCUUGAAAGCCGGUUGAUACUGUCGGGCUAGAGUCCGGAAGAGGCGAGUGGAAUUCCCGGUGUAGCGGUGAAAAUGCGCAGAUAUCGGGAGGAACACCAAUGGCGAAGGCAGCUCGCUGGGACGGUACUGACUGCUGAGACGACGAAAGCGGUGGGGAGCAAACAGGG
rnacentral:rRNA from 1 species